ACACACACUGGGGAAGAGAGACUUGCCAUGGGACAUUCCAGUCAGACGCUCACUCUUGAAGCAUUUUGUCCAGGGUGGCAGGGACAGGCUGGGCUCUUUGAAGGGUCGCAGGGGGGCUACAGCCAAUCACAGAGGAACACCCUUGACUGUCAUUCACAGGGCCAUAUAGAGAAAGCAACCUUUCAAGCUCACCCUCACCUACAAUGUCUCCAAUAAACCAAAGCUGCCUGACUUUGGUUUGUAGAAGGAGAACCUGGAGAAGUCACACUCAAGUGCUCUGAGGCAACAGUGCAAGCCACUGAACCACGUGCCGUCCCACAAGACUUCACCAAAGAUUUCAAAAACCAGGAGACUGGUCACUUAAAGCCAUUGGGGAGGUUUGGUGAUUAGGACAAACUGACCCUUCAAACUAUGAAUCACUCUUCUUCAUCAUUAUUGAUCUUCCUCACCACUGAGGAGACCGAAGGCCACAUGCUGAUUUUCUGCACUUAUGCAACAAACAGGCAAAAGGAGCCCCACAGACGACAACCUCUGCUCCUUAAAACCUCUCAGUUCAUAAGAAGAAAUCAUGUGAUGCCUGUUCAGUUUAUUGACUCUACUGAUUCCCGCUGCCUCUCCUCCCAUUGUACCAGCUCAUACAGCGGAGAUGACUAGAGAGAGGCUAUUAAAGGUAGUCUGUUAAAACCUAAUGGAGUGUUACUGCAGAUCUGAGGAGGCCCAGCUAAAGAGCGCUGAAUACAUCAAGAAGUUAAGCAGGAGGAUGAGACAGGGGGGAUAUAUAUGACAAGAGACCCCUGUGUAAGUAAUAAGUUUCCAUGAUACCCUGAGGGAGAAGCCUCUGGUGAGAUGUGAAAUCUAUCUGUUUUACCCCACAGCACAUGAAGUGUUCAGUGUGAAAUUGACUGCAGAUUGCUUACUCAAGCUCUCCCUGUAACUCAAGCCCGAUAUGAAGGUAAUUCAAUCAAAGUCACGGAGGCGUGGCCACUUUUCUGCUAAGAGGGAGUUGGAGACAGUU